rnacentral:rRNA from 1 species
UACGGAGGGUGCAAGCGUUAUCCGAAUUUAUUGGGCGUAAAGAGUUCGUAGGCAGUUUUGUAAGUUGUCUUUCAAAGACCGAGGCUUAACCUCGGGAGGGGGGACAAUACUACAUUGCUUGAAGAAUGCAGGGGCUACUGGAACUGUCGGUGUAGGAGUGAAAUCCGUUGAUAUCGACAGGAACACAGAGGGCGAAGGCAAGUAGCUGGGCAUUUUUUGACGCUGAGGAACGAAAGCUAGGGGAGCGAAAGGG